rnacentral:rRNA from 1 species
GACGAACGCUGGCGGCGUGCCUAAUACAUGCAAGUAGAACGCUGAAGGAAGGAGCUUGCUCUUUCUGGAUGAGUUGCGAACGGGUGAGUAACGCGUAGGUAACCUGCCUGGUAGCGGGGGAUAACUAUUGGAAACGAUAGCUAAUACCGCAUAAAAUUGAUUAUUGCAUGAUAGUCAAUUAAAAGGUGCAACUGCACCACUACCAGAUGGACCUGCGUUGUAUUAGCUAGUUGGUGGGGUAACGGCUCACCAAGGCGACGAUACAUAGCCGACCUGAGAGGGUGAUCGGCCACACUGGGACUGAGACACGGCCCAGACUCCUACGGGAGGCAGCAGUAGGGAAUCUUCGGCAAUGGACGGAAGUCUGACCGAGCAACGCCGCGUGAGGGAAGAAGGUUUUCGGAUCGGAAAGCUCUGUUGUAAGAGAAGAACGAGUGUGAGAGUGGAAAGUUCACACUGUGACGGUAUCUUACCAGAAAGGGACGGCUAACUACGUG